AUUGAACGCUGGCGGCAUGCCUAACACAUGCAAGUCGAGCGGUAGAGAGAAGCUUGCUUCUCUUGAGAGCGGCGGACGGGUGAGUAAUGCCUAGGAAUCUGCCUGGUAGUGGGGGAUAACGUUCGGAAACGGACGCUAAUACCGCAUACGUCCUACGGGAGAAAGCAGGGGACCUUCGGGCCUUGCGCUAUCAGAUGAGCCUAGGUCGGAUUAGCUAGUUGGUGAGGUAAUGGCUCACCAAGGCGACGAUCCGUAACUGGUCUGAGAGGAUGAUCAGUCACACUGGAACUGAGACACGGUCCAGACUCCUACGGGAGGCAGCAGUGGGGAAUAUUGGACAAUGGGCGAAAGCCUGAUCCAGCCAUGCCGCGUGUGUGAAGAAGGUCUUCGGAUUGUAAAGCACUUUAAGUUGGGAGGAAGGGUUGUAGAUUAAUACUCUGCAAUUUUGACGUUACCGACAGAAUAAGCACCGGCUAACUCUGUGCCAGCAGCCGCGGUAAUACAGAGGGUGCAAGCGUUAAUCGGAAUUACUGGGCGUAAAGCGCGCGUAGGUGGUUUGUUAAGUUGGAUGUGAAAUCCCCGGGCUCAACCUGGGAACUGCAUUCAAAACUGACUGACUAGAGUAUGGUAGAGGGUGGUGGAAUUUCCUGUGUAGCGGUGAAAUGCGUAGAUAUAGGAAGGAACACCAGUGGCGAAGGCGACCACCUGGACUAAUACUGACACUGAGGUGCGAAAGCGUGGGGAGCAAACAGG
rnacentral:rRNA from 1 species